CUAACGUCUAUGCGAGUGUUUGGGUGGAUAAAACCCCAGCGCGGAAUGAAAGUAAGAGGUUGGAGCCCGCAUGGGCGCACAAUCGACCGACCCAGAAGUUUACGGACGGGUUUGAGUAGGAGCAUAGCUGUUGGGACCGAAAGAUGGUGAACUAUACCUGGAUAGGGUGAAGCCAGAGGAAACUUCUGGUGGAGGCUCGUAGCGGUUCUGACGUGCAAAUCGAUCGUCGAAUCUGGGUAUAGGGGCGAAAGACUAAUCGAACCAUCUAGUAGCUGG
rnacentral:ncRNA from 1 species